rnacentral:rRNA from 1 species
UGGGGAAUAUUGGGCAAUGGGCGAAAGCUUACCCAGCAACGCCGCGUGAGGGAAGAAGGUUUUCGGAUUGUAAACCUCUGUCUGGGGGACGAAGGAAGUGAGGUACCCCGGGAGGAAGCCCCGGCUAACUACGUGCC